GUGGCUGUAGCUCAGUGGUAGAGCGUCAGGUCGUGGCCCUGAAGGCGCCGGUUCGACUCCGGCCAGUCACCCCA
rnacentral:tRNA from 1 species